rnacentral:ncRNA from 2 species
AUACAGAGUUGAUUUCGAGCUUUUCUGCCUAAGCUGUGAACCGAUUGACAGGAUGGAAGAAAAGCCAAUGGGUAUCCGGGGAAACGCGGGUGCCUCCCCGCAUCAGACGAUGCAUUGGAAAGGAAUAGCUCUCGGAUGACC